AUCUCUGCGUGACUUCCGCCAGCGUUUAGAGCGUUUUCGGGGUCCGAGUUGAAGAGCAAAACCAAGUGAAGGAAACUUCACUAAGUUCAGGGUGACAAGGGAGGAAGUACAGAGAAACAGAGCGCUUAAAAAGCACUGUCUGGAUAUCUUCAGAGGGAAAAAGGAGAAAGUUAACUGAAUUGGUGACACUUCGGGUCUCUCACAGAGGAAGACCUAUUAGAGUGCUAAGGAGAAGACAAGUUAUUAGCACCCAAAAGAAGCACCAGUGCGGAUGGAAAUACAAGGUUGACAUUCGCUGAGCUGUGUUUUUUUUUUCCAGGGAAAUGGUUAUUCUUGAUAUUUUGAGCAAACUCUUCUUCUCUGAUCAGUGCCCAGAACAAGGAAACAGGUUAGUCUCUCUGAGCCUUAGAUUCCUGAUCUGUAAAAUAAAGAUUAAGGAUAGUUCAUUUUAAACAAGGGUAAUGCUAUUUUCUACCCCUUAGGCUUAUAAGAGGAUAUGUACAGAGCCUGGUGAGUUUUAUAUCAUCUCAUCUUGAAGGCAAUCAAAACUCCUUCUGGGCCUCCAUGACACCCUGAUGGAGUGUCAGCAGUUAUUAAAG
rnacentral:lncRNA from 1 species